AACGCACGAGACCUGCGGACCUGCGGAGGGAUCAUUACCGAGUUCGUGCCCCGCAGCGGGGUAGAUCUCCCACCCUUGUGUAUCUUCGUACCGUUCUGUUGCUUUGGCAGGCCGCUCAGGCUUCGGCUCGACCACCGGCUCCCCCAGGGGGGCGGGUGUGCGCCUGCCAGAGGACCCCCCAACUCUUGUUUGUCAGUGUCGUCUGAGUACUAUAACCAAUCGUUAAAACUUUUAACAAUG
rnacentral:misc_RNA from 1 species